CGCAAUUACUGUAGAACAUCACGGCUCGUGGGUCGAUGAAGAGCCCAACCAACUGCGUGAAUUAAUGUGAAUUGCAGGACACAUUGAACAUCAACAUUUCGAACGCACAUUGCGGCAAUGAUGGGUGUCCAUGAUCUAGAGAGUAU
rnacentral:rRNA from 1 species